CUCCUCUUUGAUAAUUCAAUAAGAUCCCUGUGCUAGAUCAACUUACCCAGAUUCAUGCUUACACAAAGGACUGCAGGAUGUUGGAAUUAAUGAAAACGUCGAUGUUAUAGUUCAGACUGGAUGGAUCACUUACUUCUCUAUAACUUGAGAACAUCUUGGGGAGCGUCCUUACAGCCAGAGAUCGCCUGCUAAAACCUGGUGGACUUAUUAUGUCUUCAAAGGCGACGGUAUUGGAACUAUAAUUUUUUUAAGCAUAAUCUUGAAGAACCUUUGAAUCGUAAACCAGGAUUAACUUAUACAUGUCUUAAUAAUAAGUAGUAAGAGGUAAGAGAAUCUAUUCAACCACAAAUAAUGCAUGAUUAUUUUUUGCUUUGUCUGCAGCUGUAUAUAGCUCCUGUCACUCUUCCUGACAGAUACAAUUCAAAAAUUGAUAUUUAUAGCAAUGUCUAUGGAAUUGACAGUGAGUGUUCCUAUGAAAUCACCUAUAAUAUAGUAUUUGCCUGUUUACUUUUCAACGUAGUUUCAUUUGUCCUUGGCAUUAUCUUGGUAGACAUCUCGAGCACAAUUAAUUUCAUUCAUGCUUAAGUCAUCAUAUGAAAACAUCAAUGCUUCAGUAACUCGCAAGUCACAAUCUUCUUUCAGGAGACUUUACCAACAUAAAGUUUUCAUACCUAGAGGCUGUAAGAGGGGUAUUUUCUCCCCACUCAUCUAGUAUAAGAGUAAAACCUUAAGCAGAAGUUAAAGCAGAUCUCAAUGUUCUAGAAAUCUGCUGUAGAUAAAGAAAUUUCAAAAGUUGGCCUCUCAUAGCGACUCCUUACGCUCAUCAACAUUUUUUCACAGUAUUUAGAGUAUGAUCAAUGAGAAGACAUUCAGCGCUUUUCUUCAGUGACAUCCACUUACAUACGCAUCAGAAGGAACUGAGAAAUGUGAGCUAGGAAUUACAUACACAAUGCAGAAAACUGAUUCCAGCAGAACCAUCAGACUUUUUUUUGCAGAUUGAACAUUCCAAAUGGUCCCAGAUUCAGCGGAACAAAGUCAUCCAUGGGCCUCCGCGAAGUGGUUUAUGAUUGUGCACGCAUUUACCUCCGUCUUGAAUACAAGUUAGAAAAAGCACUUCUUUUCUUCAUCAGUCCGACAUCUGGA